GGGCUCACACAAGCGGUGGAGGAUGUGGCUUAAUUCGAGGCUACGCGAAGAACCUUAUCCUGGUCUUGACAUGUUUUAGAACCCGCCCGAAACGGUGGGGUGCCCGCAAGGGAGCUAUUGCACAGGUGCUGCAUGGCUGUCGUCAGCUCGUGUCGUGAGAUGUCGGGUUAAGUCCCUUAACGAGCGAAACCCUUGUCCUUAGUUGCCAGCGCGUUAUGGCGGGAACUCUAAGGAGACUGCCGGUGUUAAACCGGAGGAAGGUGGGGAUGACGUCAAGUCCUCAUGGCCCUUAUGACCAGGGCUGCACACGUCCUACAAUGAUACGCACAAAGGGAUGCAAACUCGUGAGAGCCAGCAAAUCCCAAAAAUCGUAUCCCAGUACGGAUUGCAGGCUGCAACUCGCCUGCAUGAAGCCGGAAUCGCUAGUAAUCGCGGGUCAGCACACCGCGGUGAAUGUGUUCCUGAGCCUU
rnacentral:rRNA from 1 species